rnacentral:lncRNA from 1 species
CUUACAUAUUUCCUCCUUCCCUUUUACAAGAUAACCCUAAGGGUUCUAAGGGUUGCAAAAGGAUGAAGGGUUGCAGAAGGAUGAAGGUCCGUCUCCUGCAAUUUUUUCAUGCUGAAUAGGGUCUAUGAUAUUCCUGCCUAACUAUUGGGGUCUCUUGUAUUUAGGGUAGAGAGGAGCUCAAUCAGAAAGCAUUAGUCCGUUAAGCAUCGGUUGUACCUCUGAGUUCCAGCAAAAGGUAAAACUCUGGCGCUCCAGCAGUUUCUCAGCUUCCUGUGUGGUUUCCUUGAUCUGUCCCCAUGGUACCUGUUAGUUCCUGCAAGUUCCUGCAAGUCUCUGUCUGUCCCUACCUAUCUCUCUUUCCUUAUCUCUAUUUCCUUAUCUCUACUUAUUUCUUAUUGUCCCUGCAGGCCUCUUCAGGUCCCUUCAGGUCUCUGUCCCUGAUAGUUCCUUUAAGUUUCUGCUAGUCUUUGCUAGUCUCUACUUUUGUAUCUCUUUAGGACACUGACCUUAUAUUGCUCUUAUAUUGCUAGUCUUUGCUAGUCUUUAUCCCUAUCUGUCCCUAUUUGUCCCUGUUCGGGCACCACUUGUGACUGACUGCCAUGGUUACUACUUGAGGCCAUCACUACAACAGUUACUACUGUUACUGCUUGAGACCAUCAUUAUGACUGAACAAAGGGAUAAACACAGAAAUGAUGACAAAAGAAACUAUUUAAAGGAAAGGCUAGCAUGGAGAAGAGGAAGAGAGCUCCCUGCUUCUAGUGAGCAAAGGCAGCCCCCCCUUGAGCUUCUACAGCCCUUCUUAUUAGGUAACAAGAGCAAGGAGGAGGAGAAAACCUAUGCCAACCAUGCUCAGAGGAGAUGUAAUGACAGAGAAAGCUUUAAAGAGAUGUUACAUUAUAAGGACUUGACCUCUGCUUUCUGGGACUGAAGACGGAGAAAUGAGGCGAUAAACCAAGCCUCUAGAUUCUACAUCAUUAUGGAUGCAGUCUACUACAUUCACUAAUGAAUCUCCAGCAUCUAGUUGCAAAAUUUGAACAACAAAAUUGAACAACAAAUGUAUGAAUAAAAAGAAAUAGAGAUGUCUCUACUUUCUUCUUUGUUUGCUGCAUUCCCAGGAAUUAGGUCUGUGCCCCCAAAGCUAAGGUGUUUAAAAUAAUUUAAAUCAUACCUGUUAUUUAUUUUGCUAAUUUUUCAUUAUGACAUGUGUUUUGGAAAAAAAAAAAAAAAAAACCUGUAGAAAAGCUGAUGAUAUAUAAUAUUACAUUGGUAGUAUGACUAGUAUUAAAGCAAUCAUUUCAUGGUUGGGUAAUA